rnacentral:lncRNA from 1 species
AUGCAAWCCGACUYACUCUUCACUGUGUUGCAGGGACCAAUCUCUGUGCUAGCAUGCUCUGCKGAGAGCCACCUUGACCUCGCCUUGACAGCAGUCCAAGAGUUUGAUGCUGCUGGGCAGGAAAGCAGACUUUCUAGGGUCCUCACCUUCCGGGAGGAGAACCAAAAGGCGAAAAGAGCAAAGAUGUGCGCUCCUCUCAUGCUAGCCUACAGCCAGAUAGCUCUGCACGCUCCCAAACACCUGCUUUGUUCCCGAGUCGAGACGGUCAUCGUGGAAAACAUCCUGCGCCAGUACAGGAGCAGCCCUCAGGACGUAGAGCUCAAGCUGGCCCUCAUCCAGAGYGUCACAGAAGUCAGCUGUGCCAUUCGAGGUGCCAGCAACGCGAAGAGCUUUAAUUYCUCUGCCAAAAGGGUGCUGCUUG